UCCUGGGAGGAUGAAGGCCACACGGGGAAGCGGGGUGACUGCUGCCCCUGCCCUCACUGGCUCCCAGCUCCCUAUUUCCUGAGCCUCAGUCUCCUCCAGUGUCCUCUCCUGUCCACUCCCUCUGCUGAAUGGUCACAACAUGAUGAUGAAUGGACAGGAUCAUUAACUAUUAACAGACAGUGAAUUUCUAAGGCUCUUGUCUGUGGCAUUUGAAACUGCGUAGAAGAGCUGGGCUAGUUCUCCAUGCCAGCCCUUCCCUGGUCCCCUGGCCAAACGGAAAAACCAAGAACAAUGCAGCAGGGUUUUACCAAGUUAAAAUUUAUUCCACCGAGAAGCCCCAAAUGACCCUGUUCAGGAUCUCUGAGGCUGAGAAACCAAUGGUGUCCGGAAAUCACCAAUGAAACGAACUGGUAAAAUAACUUAAUGUAUCAAAUGGAAGCAUCUAGAAACUGUUCUCUUUAGCCUUCUCCCAGGCAAGACUGUCCUCCGGCUGCAUCCCAGAGCCUUUGUGCCAAGAGAGGUGGGGGUGGGUAGAAAGUGGAGGGGUAUCUGUUUCAUAGUGGAGCCUGUCAGGGCUUGGGAAAGUCCACCCCGCAAAAAUGCCCCCCUCCACCCGCCAAUUACAAAUGAGUUGUGUUUGCUCACGCCUUCUACUUGAAAUGCAAAUGUUCACUGGGAAGAUGAGGGGUGACCGAGAAAAGAAUGAAUUGCUUUAGUGGGAAUUCCUUCACCACACAAAGAGCUCUGCACGGGCCAGUGGAAGACGCUGUGAGGGAGCUCGGGCUGGGAAGUCUGGGUGGCAUCCAGCCAGGAGGAGGAGACAGCCAUGGUUUGGGCUUCAGGCUUCAUGAUCUGGGUAUGUGGGAAUGGAUGUGAACUUGAGGAAGUGCAAGGUAGCCAGGGGCGGGGUAGCAGGGAACUACCCUCUGUGAGCCUCACCCCUGCCUCACAAGGCAGCCCUCAGUCACCGCUACCCCAGGCUCUUCUGGUCACCAGACAUUUCCUGGGUUUGUCUUGGUUUCUCCUCCUUGCUCCUUCCUGGGCAAAAGCAUUUAGAGCCAUGUCCCGUUGGCACCCAGGAUUAUUUAUGAUGGGACAUCUCCCAAGGGGACACAUUCCUUCUCGGGGUCUCAAAGCCCAUGGUUUAAGGCUAUAGGCUACACUGUCAUCUGUCUGGCCCAGCUUUUUGGACACUUUCUCCAGGUGCCCAGGUAGGACAUAUGGCAACUUAUUAAAUCUUUAGAACAACUCCAUGGGGGGAGGUGUUUAUUUAUUCCUGUUUUUUUUUUUUGGUUUUUCGAGACAGGGUUUCUCUGUGUAGCUUUGCGCCUUUCCUGGAUCUCACUCUGUAGAACAGGCUGGCCUCGAACUCACAGAGAUCCGCCUGCCUCUGCCUCCCGAGUGCUGGGAUUAAAGGCGUGCGCCACCACCGCCCGGCUAUUUAUCCCUGUUUUACAAAUAAGGAAACUGAGACAUGAAGAGGUUAAAUGACCCGCCUAGAGCUGUACAGUGGCCAACCGGGAUUUAGUCCCCCCAAAUCUAGCUUCAGAGACCAAGCAGGUAACCACUGUACCAGGGCUGGGUGGGUUACAUAGUUACUAUGCUAGGAAAACUCAGAGCACAUGUGCAAAAGGGAAAUUCAAAUGGGGGUGGGAGCAGGAGAGUGCACAUGAGCUUGGGGCGGGGCCCGAGAAGCCGCGUUUCCACCCACGGCUAGGCAAUACUGAGGCUCAUUGGCAUCUCUUGGAGUCUGCAAAGUGGCAGAGCAUGGUGGCUAAGUAAUUUAGGCUCGAGAGUCAGACAGAGAUGCCUGGGCUGAAACCCCAGUUCUUCUGGUUACUUACUGCAUGACCUUGAGUAAUUUAACCCAAAUCCACAAUUCCUUCCAAAUCUAUGGUAAUAGUUCCCAGUUAGGGGGGCCAUGAGAGACACUGCAUCUUUCUUAACAUCCUAGAAGAGGAGACACAAAGACCAGGCAGGGCCAGACCGAGGACCGCUGUGCCCAGGCUAACAGGUAUCUUUGAGCGUCAUCUGAGUAACAGGCGACAAUAAAGACCCACCCUGAUGUCAUAUGCAGGACGGUACAGGGAUGUCUAAUCAGGGAGCUGUGUGGGUGGGCCACCCAAGACUGGUGACGCAUCAAGACAGGACAAGCGAGGUCAGAGUCCAGCAAAACGGUCCUCCAAACCCAGACACCGGAGCCUUCGGGUGGCUUGAUGCUGGUCUCCGAUGGAUCUCAUGAACGGCCCCCGAAAACUAAAUUCCCAUUCCCCGAGAUCAUCCAAUUAACCAAUUCACGAGCUGCCGGCGUCUGAGAAGCAGUCUUCUAGAAGGCACAUGUUUUUGGUUCGGUUUUGUUUGUUUUGUUUUAAAGCCUGGAAGGUGAAGGAAAUAAUCCCUAACAGUAGAACCUUCUAGACAUUUGGGUGUCGGGGUGUUUAUACGAGAAAAACCGGCUCACAGGUGUCUGAGACCCAUUCUGUUCCGUUGGGUGCUGGAGUUUUGUUUGUUCUUAAACCUUUACAGGGUUUAAAAUAAGGUAGGGAUGUGAAAUGAAGAACCUGGUUUAGGAGGGAGGGAACACUCGGAAACAAAACAAUGGUUUGGUCAGCUAUUCAACACGCAGUUCACCGAGUGGUAAAUAUAAAGCUGUGUCGCUCGGUGCAUCCCAACAGAAGAGUCAACAGGACACUCAGCUCAGGGCUUAUCGGCAUCUUAUCUGCUUCCUUUUAGAAUCUGACCAGUCACGGUCAUAUAGCUAGAGUGAGUUUUUCUGGAAUCUCAGUCAUAGGGCAGUAGGUGCUAUAUAGCCUCUGUAUUUCCUGGGCAACCUGGAGGUAAGGGGAAGAGCAGGGAUGGGAGGUUGGGGUGGGGAGUAGGGGGCGGCGCUGGGCUCAGGCCUGGCCUCUGGGACCCAAAGCAGUUAAGGGGGGUGCUGGGAAACCCACAAGCCUCUCCCUGAGUUUUCUGCCUGCCUCAGAGCAGGUGAGUUUAAAGGAGACACAAUCCUGGCAAGAAAGCAUUAAGAAACAACUGAGAACAGUUCAUUGGCACGAGAAUUCAAUAGGCUUUUCUAUCGUUUCUUUAAUCUCGCUCCUGAGAGCACUGAUUCUUAAUGUUCGCACACUGAGGCGGGUGGAGAUCAGCUCGUGGCCACGUGCCUAUACUGUCCCUUUUAAUCCUCACCCAUUUUAUUUCCAGGAGGGAACUGUUCUCCACCAGGGUCAUCGCUCACUCUCUGGAGAUGCCUGGCAGAUGCAAUCUCCAUGCACCAAAGGCGACUCUCUAAAGGAUGUUCUUGUCACCCGCCUAAUCUUUUAUACCUAUUUUAAGGAAAGUGAAGGAAAGGUGGCCUGGCCAACUUCCUGUUUUAUAUAUAUAGUAUCUCUUGACACUUGAAAAUCAAGCGAUGAACAGAAUUUAAGAGACUGUCCAGUUACAAGGUUUCAGUGGCACCCAACAACUUGAAAAUCAAGCAUGGUCAGACUGUCCUGGUCCCCUCUCCUCCUUUUCCCCUAGGAUUCCUCAGCCCAGAUGCAAGGACUCUUCACAAGGACAUUUGCAUUGAAGAUUCUCCCUUACAGAAUGUUCUUCCCAUUACUUUUUUUGGGGGAAGGGGAGCUUCGCUCAUUUCUCAAGGGGGUUUCACACAACCUAACUGGGGGAGCUUCCCUUGACUCCGUUCCCUUUAAAUUUCCUGCAUCAAUUCAUCCAUUUUCAUAGCAUGUUCUCCAAAUGACUCCCUCCAUCCAUGUCCACAUCAUGUCCCCUGCAGGUAAGCUGGUCAAGGGUGGGGACAGUGUCUGCUCUAGCCCAGGACCAGCACAGGUGAAGGUUGGUAGGAGGUGCAGAUACAUACUUCAUGAAUGAAAGCCAUGGCUGUGACUGAGGAAAAGUCAAUGGGGUUAAACUUGUAAGCCAUCAAAGACGCAUUAAAGCACUUGGCAACAGU